GAUGAAGAACGUAGCGAAAUGCGAUAAGUAAUGUGAAUUGCAGAAUUCAGUGAAUCAUCGAAUCUUUGAACGCACAUUGCGCCCGCCAGUAUUCUGGCGGGCAUGCCUGUUCGAGCGUCAUUUCAACCAUCAAGCCCUGCUUGCGUUGGGGUCCUGCGGCUGCCCGCAGGCCCUGAAAACCAGUGGCGGGCUCGCUAGUCACACCGAGCGCAGUAAUCAUUCUUCUCUCCGGGCGUGGCGGCGGGUUCCGGCCGUAAAAUCACCAAUUUAUCAAGGUUGACCUCGGAUCAGGUAGGAAUACCCGCUGAACUUAAGCAUAUCAAUAAGCGGAGGA
rnacentral:misc_RNA from 1 species